CCCCCCCCCCCCCCAAAUGUUUUCAAAAAAAUAGCCGUUGUAAUGAGCUGUCCACAGCUGUUGCCUGCACAGUUCAAACUCUCGUUUUAUGUUAUACAUGUAUAAUGUGUUCUAUGGAUACGAUAGGAGGAGAUCAUUCUCAGUCAAAAACUCAUGUACAAAUAUUAUUGAUAAAUAAAAAUUUUCAAAUGAUAUAGAUCCAGAU